rnacentral:rRNA from 1 species
CCUACGGGUGGCAGCAGUGAGGAAUAUUGGUCAAUGGGCGUAAGCCUGAACCAGCCAAGUCGCGUGAAGGAUGAAGGUUCUAUGGAUCGUAAACUUCUUUUAUAAGGGAAUAAAAUGAGGCACGUGUCCUGUUUUGUAUGUACCUUAUGAAUAAGGAUCGGCUAACUCCGUGCCAGCAGCCGCGGUAAUACGGAGGAUCCGAGCGUUAUCCGGAUUUAUUGGGUUUAAAGGGUGCGUAGGCGGGCUUUUAAGUCAGCGGUGAAAGGCUGUGGCUCAACCAUAGAAGUGCCGUGGAAACUGGCAGGCUUGAGUAGGUGUGAGGUAGGCGGAAUGCGUGGUGUAGCGGUGAAAUGCUUAGAUAUCACGCAGAACCCCGAUUGCGAAGGCAGCAUGCCA